rnacentral:antisense_RNA from 1 species
UUUGAAGGAGCCGAGCCACAGGGGGCGGCCCUCGGGCCGGCCCCGGCCGUAGGUGGCGAGCAGGGCCUGGGCCUC